CAGGCACCGCGACCAAACUCACAUGAGGAAAAAUCUGAAAGCAGGAAGCCAGCGCUGUCCUACCACAGCGGGACUGACUGGGGAGGUGAAAAGAUGAAGUACCUGCGGGCACUCCAGGACCUGGGUUGCCUACCCCUGCCCUAGAGGGAAGAAUGCGGCCGCCUUUACUGAGACAGAGUGCUCCAUGUUCCUGCUGAUCGAAAGCCUCAAGCUGGAUGCAGAAAAAUGUCCUGCCUUGUAGUAUGGUUGCAUCCAUCUCCACCAGGCUCCAAGAAAUCAGAUGACAAACAUGCAGAUUAACUAAAUAAAAUUGUACUAUUUAUAUUUUUGACAACUUUUACGUCACUACAUUCCUAAAGAAAAUGAUGUACUUUUUACUCCAUACAUUUCCCUGACACCAAAAACUUAUUGUUACACUUUGAAUGCUUAGCAGGACAGGAAAAUGGUCCAAUUCACACACUAAU